CUCUGUAGAACCUCAUAAAUGCAGUUCUAGCUGUGAGCCUGUCACCAAGGUGACCACCGACAUCACCAAAUUCUCUUUUGUCACAAUGUGACAGUAUCUUUCCACUUUCCCCCUACUCCUGAAUGUCUAAAGAACUCUCAAUGCAUAUUAGCCAUCACCAUGGUUGAGACCCAGACCUCUGCAGAGACAAUCUUGAUCCUCUGGCUCCUGCUUCACAUUGCCCAUUCACCCUCAGCACUGAAAUCCUUACCUCAAGCGCUGGGAAUUCAGGCCAUGGAAGAUUAGGAGGCUCACAGCAGUGGAAUGCUGCUCCAAGAAGAAUUCUGAUUACAUUUUUCCAUGUCGUUGUUAUGGAAGCUGUAUCUAUAUAAAGUGGGAAGAUGCCAAUAAGGGUCCUUGCUCCUUGAGUGAGCAAGUUAUCCUUCAAGAUUCAGGACAAAUGUCACUUCCUCAGUGAAGCCUUCUCUCCCUCCUUGGUGUCUCCAUAAUACUCUGCUUAGACUUCACAUAUAUCAUGUGUUUUCCUACUAGAUUCUGAACUCCCCGAGAGCGGCAACCCAUAUCUUAACUCUCUUUGCAUCAACAGAGCCCAAUACAAUGCCUGGCACAGAGUAAGCCUCAAAUAUGUCUAUGAUAUAAAUUUUCUAAUAAAAUGUCUAUGGUAUCUAUUGUCUAUCUCAGAGUGAAUUUAAGAAAUUCAACAUCUCUUACAAAUCUAGAUCAUUCACUUAACAGAAUGGCAUUACCAUAUUAUCAGUAUGCACAGACAA
rnacentral:lncRNA from 1 species